rnacentral:lncRNA from 10 species
CCUUGCUAUGCUGUGGACACCAUUCAAGAGUUAUAGAGUCCACCCUCUCCAAACAAAGUAAAACCCCGUGACAAAUGACCUUCAUGUUUAACAUUUACUCAGUUCUCUUUUAAACAAUGAAAUGGAGCGCACUCUUUCGUGGCACUUUUAUAGGCAGGAGAGAGAGUGGUCUCACAACGGAAGGGCACCAGCCACUGAGAAGUCCUAAGGCCGUGUUUGAGUUCUGGCUCAUCUUUUUUGCUAAUUUGCUCUUAUGCAUAUCACCCAACCUCGCUAAGCCAGUUUCAUCAUCAGCGAGAACAGCACACUGACAUGCAGGGCCAGCUCAGGCGCUACCACAAGCUACACAUCCGUCCAUUCGUUUAAUCUUCACAGCAGCCCUGGAGGUCACCCAGGCAUGGAAUGCACAGCUCUGCCAGACAGAAAGCGCUUUGGAUGCCUGAGAAACAACAGCUUGUCCGGGCUACUGAUGCGAAGAGAGGCCAUGGUUUCCUUUUUCUCUGCUCUGAAUGGCAGCCUUGACGUCACAACAGCUAGGAACCACUGGAGGGACAAAUAACAAGGCGCAAGCCAGAAGCGCCCUGCUCUGUCGCAGGGGCAGGGCCAUUUUCAUCCAGUUCUGAUGUCUUCUGUGGCCGCUGCGAGUCGGCGGGAGUAGAGACAAAUGACUGGAGCUUUAGGCGUAAAGGCGGUCUCUCUCUAGGCUGAUCAAACAGCCCUUUGCCCAGUGCUAAUUGCCUUCACGGAACCUGGAUAAACUACAGUUCCCGAAUUAAACUUGUUUCUGAUGAACUAGACUUCCCAGGGAAUGGGUGUAGUGAUUUUGCUGAUGGUUCAGACAUCGGCACUUUCCCUGAAGGGCUCAACUUCCUGUGUUUAAAAGCAGACCUAACAGGGGCUGGCGCAUAAGCAUCCCGGGAAAUACAAGAAGCUCAUGAAAG